rnacentral:rRNA from 1 species
AGUGGCGAACUGGUGAGUAACACGUGGAAAACCUGCCCAGAAGCAGGGAUAACAUUUGGAAACAGGUGCUAAUACCGUAUAACACAAAAACCGACAUGGCUUUUGCUUGAAAGGUGGCUUCGGCUAUCACUUCUGGAUGGUUCCGCGGCGCAUUAGCUAGUUGGUGAGGUAAAGGCCCACCAAGGCAAUGAUGCGUAGCCGACCUGAGAGGGUAAUCGGCCACAUUGGGACUGAGACACGGCCCAGACUCC